rnacentral:rRNA from 1 species
GCAUAUCAAUAAGCGGAGGAAAAGAAACCAACAGGGAUUGCCUCAGUAACGGCGAGUGAAGCGGCAAAAGCUCAAAUUUGAAAUCUGGCCCUUUCAGGGUCCGAGUUGUAAUUUGCAGAGGAUGCUUCGGGAGCGGCGGCGGUCUAAGUCCCCUGGAACGGGGCGUCGUAGAGGGUGAGAAUCCCGUCUUGGACCGCAUGCCCGUGACCGUGUGAAGCUCCUUCGACGAGUCGAGUUGUUUGGGAAUGCAGCUCAAAAUGGGUGGUAAAUUUCAUCUAAAGCUAAAUACUGGCUG